rnacentral:rRNA from 1 species
UACAGAGGUGGCAAGCGUUGUUCGGAAUUACUGGGCGUAAAGGGCGCGUAGGCGGCCUUCUAAGUCAGACGUGAAAUCCCCAGGCUUAACCUGGGAACUGCAUCCGAUACUGGAUGGCUUGAAUCCGGGAGAGGGAUGCAGAAUUCCAGGUGUAGCGGUGAAAUGCGUAGAUAUCUGGAGGAAUACCGGUGGCGAAGGCGGCAUCCUGGACCGGCAUUGACGCUGAUGAGCGAAAGCUAGGGGAGCAAACGGGG